UCUCCGCCAGAGAAUUACAAAUGAAAAAUUUAAAACUCAAAGGACUUGACGGUGUCCCAUAUCGACCUAGAGGAGCCUGUCCUAUAAUCGAUACCCCCCGCUUCACCUAACCUUAACUAGCACCUACCAGCCUAUAUACCGCCGUCGACAGCCUACCCCAUGAGGGAUAAAUAGUAGACAAAAUAGCCCCACUAACACGUCAGGUCAAGGUGUAGCAAAUGUUAAGGAAGAGAUUGGCUACAUUUUUUGAUUACAAAAAAUUACGGAAAAUUUCAUGAAACAAAAUAUGAAGGUGAAUUUAGUAGUAAAAUAAACGAGAAUGUUUAUUUUAACAACGCUCUGGGACGCGUACACACCGCCC
rnacentral:rRNA from 1 species